UUUUUUCUGCGUGGUGCGUCACCGCUUGACGAUGAUUGAGCCAACGCCGUGAGUAAGGGAGACCGACGCCGCACUUGCCAGUGCAUUCUCUCAGAGUUAGAGAAUUGCCAGAGGCUGCGGCUCUUCAAAGGUCACCCACCUGUUUAGUGCAGGUUCAAUUACGGCUGCGGAGCGGCCUCGCGGAUGCCCU
rnacentral:other from 1 species